AGUGAACGCUGGCGGUAGGCCUAACACAUGCAAGUCGAACGGCAGCACAGUAAGAGCUUGCUCUUACGGGUGGCGAGUGGCGGACGGGUGAGGAAUACAUCGGAAUCUACUUUUUCGUGGGGGAUAACGUAGGGAAACUUACGCUAAUACCGCAUACGACCUACGGGUGAAAGCAGGGGAUCUUCGGACCUUGCGCGAUUGAAUGAGCCGAUGGCGGAUUAGCUAGUUGGCGGGGUAAAGGCCCACCAAGGCGACGAUCCGUAGCUGGUCUGAGAGGAUGAUCAGCCACACUGGAACUGAGACACGGUCCAGACUCCUACGGGAGGCAGCAGUGGGGAAUAUUGGACAAUGGGCGCAAGCCUGAUCCAGCCAUACCGCGGGGGUGAAGAAGGCCUUCGGGUUGUAAAGCCCUUUUGUUGGGAAAGAAAAGCAGCAGGUUAAUACCCCGCUGUUCUGACGGUACCCAAAGAAUAAGCACCGGCUAACUUCGUG
rnacentral:rRNA from 1 species